GGGUCGAUGCCCGAGUGGUUAAUGGGGACGGAUUGUAAAUCCGUUGGUUAUGCCUACGUAGGUUCAAAUCCUACUCGGCCCA
rnacentral:tRNA from 1 species